rnacentral:rRNA from 1 species
UACGGGGGGGGCAAGCGUUGUUCGGAAUUACUGGGCGUAAAGGGCUUGUAGGUGGCCAACUAAGUCAGACGUGAAAUCCCUCGGCUUAACCGGGGAACUGCGUCUGAUACUGGAUGGCUAGAGUACGGUAGAGGGGGAUGGAAUUCCGCGUGUAGCAGUGAAAUGCGUAGAUAUGCGGAGGAACACCGAUGGCGAAGGCAAUCCCCUGGACCUGUACUGACGCUCAUGCACGAAAGCGUGGGGAGCAAACAGG